rnacentral:snRNA from 1 species
AAGUGUUACAGUUCUUUUAGAAUUUGUCUAGCAGGCUUUCUGAGUUUUGCCAGAAAGCACUU